AGUAUAUAUAAUGGCAUGAUCAUUCAGAUUGCCAUUCCGCCUGACGUCCUUAAGGCAUUGAGUUCACAGCGGUUCCAGCUGGUCAUAAAAUCAACUUAAAAUGGAGACCCGAGUGUUGAUGUGUUUCUUUGUCGUACUUUACCUGGCGACUGUCUCGGUCGCUGCUCCUGUGGACGAAUUUCAAAGCGUGGAGGACAGUAAUGACGAGGCCAUGGUCAGAGCCAAACGUGGACAUUGCAUUUGGAGAUGUGGCUACUGGGGUCACUUCUUGACCUGUCCAAGUAGGUUCUUCGUCCGGGGAACGUGUGGCUCUGGAAUAAAUGCAGAUUGUUCUCAUAAGCACUGCGGCAAAAAGACCUGGCACGCCAUCUUGUGUUGCCCGAAAUAAACUAGCUUGUGCAACAACAUCCGUAGUAUUCAGAUAUAUACACAAGAAUGCUUUACAAACUGAGCAGAAUUUUGAAUUUCAUUGAUGUAAAAGAUAAAAACUUAGUUGGAAACUAUUCGGUUUAUUAUCUUUGCUGUUUUGGAGUGUAUUCACUUCGCAGUUGGUCAAAUAAAAGAAUUGAACU